CAAUAGCGUAUAUUAAAGUUGUUGCGGUUAAAAAGCUCGUAGUUGGAUUUCGGCGGACAGGGGGCGGUUCGAUAUUUGUCGCUACUGCCCCAUUUGUCCGUGUUUUUGGCGGAGGUUUCAGGGUGCUCUUCACCGAGUGUCCUGGGAAGCCGUCAGGUUUACUUUGAAAAAAUUAGAGUGCUCAAAGCAGGCUUUACACGCUUGAAUAUUCGUGCAUGGAAUAAUGGAAUAGGACGUCGUUUCUAUUUUGUUGGUUUUCGGAAAUCGACGUAAUGAUUAACAGGGACAGUCGGGGGCAUUAGUAUUCAGACGACAGAGGUGAAAUUCUUGGACCGUCUGAAGACUAACUACUGCGAAAGCAUUUGCCAAGAAUGUUUUCAUUAA
rnacentral:rRNA from 1 species